GCUGACGAGUGGCGGACGGGUGAGUAAUGUCUGGGAAACUGCCUGAUGGAGGGGGAUAACUACUGGAAACGGUAGCUAAUACCGCAUAACGUCCCAAGACCAAAGAGGGGGACCUUCGGGCCUCUUGCCAUCGGAUGUGCCCAGAUGGGAUUAGCUUGUUGGUGGGGUAACGGCUCACCAAGGCGACAAUCCCUAGCUGGUCUGAAAGGAUGACCACCCACACUGGAACUGAAACACGGUCCAAACUCCUACGGGAGGCAGCAGUGGGGAAUAUUGCACAAUGGGCCCAAGCCUGAUGCACCCAUGCCGCGUGUAUGAAAAAGGCCUUCGGGUUGUAAAGUACUUUCAGCGGGGAGGAAGGGAGUAAAGUUAAUACCUUUGCUCAUUGACGUUACCCGCAAAAAAAGCACCGGCUAACUCCGUGCCAGCAGCCGCGGUAAUACGGAGGGUGCAAGCGUUAAUCGGAAUUACUGGGCGUAAAGCGCACGCAGGCGGUUUGUUAAGUCAAAUGUGAAAUCCCCGGGCUCAACCUGGGAACUGCAUCUGAUACUGGCAAGC
rnacentral:rRNA from 1 species